AAAGCCAGGGGAGCAAAUUUGACCCAGCUUAAGGAGAAAGCAACAUCUAAAUCAUACCUGUCUCCAAAGAGAUGCAAAGUUUCAAUGGAGCAGCAACCUUCAGGGGGUGAGAGGGUGAGGAAUAACAGCAUAACUGAGUUGGAAGGGACCUUGGAGAUCUUCUAGUCCAACCCCUGCUCAAGCAGCGCCACUCCGUGAUGAACUCAGGCCCAAUGGAUUGGUAUGUUCUGGAUCAUACACAAGACACGGAGAUUCUAUCCAGACGGCUCAGCAAAUUCUCUGUCUCGGCCAAGAGACCCAUUGUGUCAACCUUAAUUUUACCAUGAAUACAUUUGGAGCUAUUGAAGAAACGGGUAUGCUCCGAGGAUGUGCAACCCCAAACGUAUGUUCCUAUCCUGUUGGAGAGACAAGCAUGGCCAAUGGCCUUGUAACGUUCAACAUCAUGAAGGAGUGUAACACUAUUCCAUUAUCACUUGAUCGUGCUUUUCUCCUCAAGUAGUCAGAACAUAGCCUUCUCCCUUUGUCUUUCAGGGUUUA